AUAGUUUCAGCCAUGAGUCACGCUUCGUAGGUUUGGCAACGUGAAUAGUGAAGGUUUGGCAAAGCGUAGCGGACGGACUGGUAUUGACUUGUUUUCUCAAAUAACUUCCUCCUUUCUUCUUCCUCUUCUUUUUCUUGUAUUCAGCAAAUCAACAAACGACUUCCUUGUAUUAACUAUGGUAAGAUGAAGCACCACAGAAACUAUAA
rfam:Glossina fuscipes fuscipes unplaced genomic scaffold Scaffold92, whole genome shotgun sequence.